AGCAGCCGCGGUAAUUCCAGCUCCAAUAGCGUAUAUUAAAGUUGUUGCAGUUAAAAAGCUCGUAGUUGAAUUUCGGGAUCAGUACGCUGGUCAUGCCUUUGGUAUGCACUGGUGUCACUGGUUUCUCCCUUCUGAAGAACCGUGAUGUCAUUAAUUUGGUGUCGCGGGGAAUCAGGACUGUUACUUUGAAAAAUUGAGUGUUUAAAGCAGGCUCACGCUUGAAUACAUUAGCAUGGAAUAAUGAAAUAGGACGUUUGACCCUAUUUUGUUGGUUUCUAGGAUCGACGUAAUGAUUAAUAGGGAUAGUUGGGGGCAUUAGUAUUCAAUUGUCAGAGGUGAAAUUCUUGGAUUUAUUGAAGACUAACUACUGCGAAAGCAUUUGCCAAGGAUGUUUUCAUUAAUCAAGAACGAAAGUUAGGGGAUCGAAGACGAUCAGAUACCGUCGUAGUCUUAACCAUAAAACUAUGCCGACUAGGGAUCGGAUGAUGUUAAUUUAUAU
rnacentral:rRNA from 1 species